rnacentral:rRNA from 1 species
GAUGAACGCUGGCGGCGUGCCUAAUACAUGCAAGUCGAGCGAACAGACGAGGAGCUUGCUCCUCUGACGUUAGCGGCGGACGGGUGAGUAACACGUGGAUAACCUACCUAUAAGACUGGGAUAACUUCGGGAAACCGGAGCUAAUACCGGAUAAUAUAUUGAACCGCAUGGUUCAAUAGUGAAAGACGGUUUUGCUGUCACUUAUGGAUGGAUCCGCGCCGCAUUAGCUAGUUGGUAAGGUAACGGCUUACCAAGGCAACGAUGCGUAGCCGACCUGAGAGGGUGAUCGGCCACACUGGAACUGAGACACGGUCCAGACUCCUACGGGAGGCAGCAGUAGGGAAUCUUCCGCAAUGGGCGAAAGCCUGACGGAGCAACGCCGCGUGAGUGAUGAAGGUCUUCGGAUCGUAAAACUCUGUUAUUAGGGAAGAACAAAUGUGUAAGUAACGAUGCACGUCUUGACGGUACCUAAGCAGAAAGCCACGGCUAACUACGU